rnacentral:rRNA from 1 species
GGAUCCAGACUUUGAUUAUGGCUCAGGAUGAACGCUAGCUACAGGCUUAACACAUGCAAGUCGAGGGGCAGCGGGAUUGAAGCUUGCUUCAAUUGCCGGCGACCGGCGCACGGGUGAGUAACGCGUAUCCAACCUUCCGUACACUCAGGGAUAGCCUUUCGAAAGAAAGAUUAAUACCUGAUAGUAUCUUAAGCACACAUGUAAUUAAGAUUAAAGAUUUAUCGGUGUACGAUGGGGAUGCGUUCCAUUAGGUAGCAGGCGGGGUAACGGCCCACCUAGCCAACGAUGGAUAGGGGUUCUGAGAGGAAGGUCCCCCACAUUGGAACUGAGACACGGUCCAAACUCCUACGGGAGGCAGCAGUGAGGAAUAUUGGUCAAUGGACGAGAGUCUGAACCAGCCAAGUAGCGUGAAGGAUGAAGGUCCUACGGAUUGUAAACUUCUUUUAUAAGGGAAUAAACCCUCCCACGUGUGGGAGCUUGUAUGUACCUUAUGAAUAAGCAUCGGCUAACUCCGUGCCAGCAGCCGCGGUAAUACGGAGGAUGCGAGCGUUAUCCGGAUUUAUUGGGUUUAAAGGGAGCGCAGACGGGUCGUUAAGUCAGCUGUGAAAGUUUGGGGCUCAACCUUAAAAUUGCAGUUGAUACUGGCGUCCUUGAGUGCGGUUGAGGUGUGCGGAAUUCGUGGUGUAGCGGUGAAAUGCUUAGAUAUCACGAAGAACUCCGAUUGCGAAGGCAGCACACUAAUCCGUAACUGACGUUCAUGCUCGAAAGUGUGGGUAUCAAACAGGAUUAGAUACCCUGGUAGUCCACACGGUAAACGAUGGAUACUCGCUGUUGGCGAUAUACUGUCAGCGGCUUAGCGAAAGCGUUAAGUAUCCCACCUGGGGAGUACGCCGGCAACGGUGCAACUCAA